rnacentral:rRNA from 1 species
UACGUAGGGGGCAAGCGUUAUCCGGAUUUACUGGGUGUAAAGGGGGCGCAGACGGCAGCGCAAGCCAGGAGUGAAAGCCCGGGGCCCAACCCCGGGACUGCUCUUGGAACUGCGUGGCUGGAGUGCAGGAGGGGCAGGCGGAAUUCCUGGUGUAGCGGUGAAAUGCGUAGAUAUCAGGAGGAACACCGGUGGCGAAGGCGGUCUGCUGGACAGCAACUGACGCUGAGGCGCGAAAGCGUGGGGAGCAAACAGG